rnacentral:rRNA from 1 species
AGAGCGAACGCUGGCGGCAGGCCUAACACAUGCAAGUCGAGCGCCCCCGCAAGGGGAGCGGCAGACGGGAGAGUAACACGUGGGAACGUACCCUUCAGUUCGGAACAACCCAGGGAAACUUGGGCUAAUACCGAAUACGUCCGUAAGGAGAAAGAUUUAUCGCUGAAGGAUCGGCCCGCGUCUGAUUAGCUUGUUGGUGAGGUAACGGCUCACCAAGGCUACGAUCAGUAGCUGGUCUGAGAGGAUGAUCAGCCUCACUGGGACUGAGACACGGCCCAGACUCCUACGGGAGGCAGCAGUGGGGAAUAUUGGACAAUGGGCGCAAGCCUGAUCCAGCCAUGCCGCGUGGAUGAUGAAGGCCUUAGGGUUGUAAAGUCCUUUCGACGGGGAAGAUAAUGACGGUACCCGUAGAAGAAGCCCGGCUAACUUCGUGCCAGCAGCCGC